rnacentral:rRNA from 1 species
CUGGGACUGAGACACGGCCCAGACUCCUACGGGAGGCAGCAGUGGGGAAUAUUGCACAAUGGGCGCAAGCCUGAUGCAGCGACGCCGCGUGAGGGAUGACGGCCUUCGGGUUGUAAACCUCUUUCAGCAGGGAAGAAGCGCAAGUGACGGUACCUGCAGAAGAAGCACCGGCUAACUACGUGCCAGCAGCCGCGGUAAUACGUAGGGUGCAAGCGUUGUCCGGAAUUACUGGGCGUAAAGAGUUCGUAGGCGGUUUGUCGCGUCUUUUGUGAAAACCCGCAGCUCAACUGCUGGCUUGCAGGGGAUACGGGCAGACUUGAGUACUGCAGGGGAGACUGGAAUUCCUGGUGUAGCGGUGAAAUGCGCAGAUAUCAGGAGGAACACCGGUGGCGAAGGCGGGUCUCUGGGCAUUAACUGACGCUGAGGAACGAAAGCGUGGGUAGCGAACAGGAUUAGAUACCCUGGUAGUCCACGCCGUAAACGGUGGGCGCUAGGUGUGGG